UCAUCUGACAUUCCUGGUAUAGCUACGUC
rnacentral:sRNA from 1 species